CACUGUUGAAGUAGUGAGAAGAAAAUAAACUGGACAUGAUAGAAACCCCGGAUAUAAAACGUGCUAAUAUAUGUAGCGAGUCUAAAGAAUAGGUCUACAUCCACUUAUUGUACGAGUGUUGUUGUUGUUGAUAACAGUCAAUAACAUGACUGCAGUUGC